rnacentral:rRNA from 1 species
GCUUCUCUGAUGUUAGCGGCGGACGGGUGAGUAACACGUGGAUAACCUACCUAUAAGACUGGGAUAACUUCGGGAAACCGGAGCUAAUACCGGAUAAUAUUUUGAACCGCAUGGUUCAAAAGUGAAAGACGGUCUUGCUGUCACUUAUAGAUGGAUCCGCGCUGCAUUAGCUAGUUGGUAAGGUAACGGCUUACCAAGGCAACGAUGCAUAGCCGACCUGAGAGGGUGAUCGGCCACACUGGAACUGAGACACGGUCCAGACUCCUACGGGAGGCAGCAGUAGGGAAUCUUCCGCAAUGGGCGAAAGCCUGACGGAGCAACGCCGCGUGAGUGAUGAAGGUCUUCGGAUCGUAAAACUCUGUUAUUAGGGAAGAACAUAUGUGUAAGUAACUGUGCACAUCUUGA